rnacentral:rRNA from 1 species
CAGUAGCCGCGGUAAUACGUAGGGUGCGAGCGUUAAUCGGAAUUACUGGGCGUAAAGCGUGCGCAGGCGGUUGUGUAAGACAGGUGUGAAAUCCCCGGGCUUAACCUGGGAACUGCGCUUGUGACUGCACAGCUAGAGUAUGGCAGAGGGGGGUGGAAUUCCACGUGUAGCAGUGAAAUACGUAGAGAUGUGGAGGAACACCGAUGGCGAAGGCAGCCCCCUGGGCCAAUACUGACGCUCAUGCACGAAAGCGUGGGGAGCAAACAGGAUUAGAUACCCCCGUAGUCCCUGUCUCUUAUAC